UGACUUUUAUAUACUAAAUUCACAUAUGCAAACAAUUUAAACUUUUAGCAGAGAGAUUAACAGUCAUUAUUCAAAUGCAUUUUUUAAUAUUUAAAGCGUGUUUUUGACAUGUUUGACAGAGAGCACAUGUUUCCUGAAAUUCGAGUAAAAGUUAACAAAAUGUGUGAAAACCCAAAUUUUUCUUUCUGGUGCAAAUGCUAAUCAAUUAAAACUAAGUAAAACCCUGUAAUGACUAUCAAAGAAGUUUUUGACAUCAUAAAAUUUCCUAAAAUUAUGCUUACUUCUAAUCAAACAGCAAAUCAUAACAACUCAUACAGUUGCCCAAAAUACCGCCAUCUGCGAAAAAACAGCUUUUAAGCAUUUCUUCCUAUUUAAACAUUGUAUGUGGUCAAUAUAAGAUUUAAUAAACAAAAUCUUAAGAAUCUGAAAAAUUUAGAGUAAAAAAUAUGUGCGCGAAUCAUCUUAUUGCUUGAAAUAAAGGGGGUGAAACCAAGAGAUUGCAAUCUGCAUUGUAACUACCAGACUGAAAUAAACAUAUUUCGACUUUUCUAAUUGUUUGAUUUGUAGCUUCAUUAUAAAUAUUGAUGUAGUGAAAAGACCUUUUAUUUAUUUAAUGUGAAUUGAAAAUCUAGACCAAAAUAAAUAGAAAAUAAAUUGAUGAAAAUUGAAAUUUCAAAGAAUUUCAAAAACUAGUAAACACAUUAUAAAACUGGACUACUUGAUUGCUUAAAUUCUGUUGUUUAUUGUUUACAUGCAUUAAUUCAUCAAAUAAGAAUAAUUUUGAAGAAAAAAUAUCCAUUAAUACGCAACGAUUCUAGUUACAACUAGACUUCCUGAAUAGCUUGAAUGACUAGUUCAUUUUUCAUACGAGAAUGACUUCAUGCAAAAGUUUCUGAUGACGACUGACAAGAAGCUAUCAUUAUCUUGAAACUUCACUUUCCAUUAUAUAGAUGAUGUCAUCUCACUGAAUAGUGUAAAAUUUGUGACAAUGUUGGACUCGUAUUUUCCAUUGAAAUUGAAAAUAAAAGACUCAACAAAUAUAGUUUACUCUAUCACGUAUCUUGAAAUCGAUGAUGAGGGUUGGUUG
rnacentral:lncRNA from 1 species